GGGAGCGGAGCCAGAGAGAGAGAAAAGGAGAGAAAAGUUUCCCGGAGUCUUCAUUAGUUGACUUCUCUGUCCACUGCUUCCCCCAGCCGGCCGAGCUCACCCCUAAUAAAGGAAGGAGGGGGGGUGUCUUUAUUUUUUUUUUAAGGCCCCAAAGAGUCCAAUGUUUACAAGACCAAAAAUGCCACGGCCACGUCCUGGCAGAAAGAAAGGCUGAAAUGGAGGACUGACGCCUUCCUUAUAAGCUCAUUGGGGCCUGAGCCAGUACCAACCUGGUAGAAAAAGCAACCAUGAAGCCAGAGAGAGAGCCAAAGGAGGGAAGAGAGCGCCAGAUGGAGAUGAAAAGGAACCACGCGGAGAAAUGCAGGGAAAGAAGGAGGUGGCAGGUUCCGGAACAGAUAUGGCAGAGGGCAAGACAGGCACUCAUGGACAGAGGUUUAUGUAUUUUUAUUAAACAAUUUUUUAAAAUUGGGGGCUCAGUGAAGAGAAGGGACAACUCAGGAAAGGGGAGGGGAGAGGGAAUUAUUCGAGUCACAGCGUGACCACCCCAGAAGGGGAGAACACUGGAUACACCAGAUCCUCGGUGAUCCUCGGUGCUGGUGCUGGAGCAGCACUGGGCUCGCUCUGGUUCCGAUUUGCCGCCGUGGCACAGCCCGUUGGGCUGGGCUAUCGAGGCCCCCCUCUCGGCCACCAGGGCUUCCUCGCUCUCCUUAUCAUUCCAUCUUUAUGAUGAGGCUUGUUAACAAGACCAGCGAGCUGGCCACGCACAUCUAUCUCUGCCGGCUCGAGCUCAGCCAAGCAGCGGCCGGCGGGGGCGGGGUGGGGGGGGACUGGUGAGGCACUAAUUAAUUGAUUUCUUUGGACAGUAAAGCAUGGCCGCAUCUACAUGGAACCUAUCGACUCAUAAACAAUAUCUCUGUUGGGUGUGAAUGUAUUAUCUCUCAAAGAAUUUUUCUAUAGGCGUGUGUCAUGUAGUCCAGGAUUUUUAGCUGCUAAAGAAAGACCCAAGUGGGACUCAUUUUUAGGGGGCCAGAUCGGAGUUAGCUCAGCUCCACAAAAUACAUUAAGUUAUGACUGCCUCUGAAAAAGCGUUGGGAAUGGGUUUUGCUGAGAAAAACUUGGGUUAUUGGAUAACCUUUCCCAGUUGCUUGUGUAGACCCGGCCAAGGUUAAGGAUGGGAACUGGAGUCGAGGAGCUGGGCAGGCCGGAGUCCUCUUCCUGGUCGUCUGGGACAGAGUGGGGCUGCUCUCGGAUUUGAGAGGAGCAUAGAAGACAAGGUCCAGCCUUUACCUCAUACUGCUCCCUGGACUUGAGUUUUUAAAGUAAAUUUUAAAAAGGUUAAACAAACCUUAGCUUUCAAGAAGCCCUUGCAUGCCCAGCACACAGCCGGAACCUUCCUGUUACACACCUCACCUGGCUGCUGCGCUUCCUUCUUUCCCCCUUUCCUAACUGGCAGCUCAGAGUAACUAUAUUUAUAUUAGAUCUAGAAGAACACAUCCUGAGACAGAAGCAGUAACAUAAUUAUACAAUGCUAAUUCCAUACAGGAGUGAUUAUGCAGUCAGACCCUGUCAAACAGGACCUAGGGCUCUAAAUAUAGACCCUGACCUCAGACAAGAGAAGCAACAGUUAAAUAGAGAUAGAAGACCACUCAUAUCAAUAAUCCAUGUAGACACAGAAGAGGGUUUGUAAAAGACAGAAAUAAUAGAAAUACAGGACAGAAAAGAGGUUCAGCUGAUAGAGAAUGUCAUUGCCAGUGCCUGAGCUUCCUCCUGCUACUGUUUUUAAGAUUGCCAGAGAAAUGUGUAUUAUAAAUAUAGUAAUAUGUGAAAUCAAAGUAUGUACUUCAAUGUAUUUGGUACACAUAUACCAUGUAUACAAACAUAAUUCACAGAAUAUAUUUUUCAUACACUGGGUUGAUAGGCACUUUGUGUAUAUAUAAUAACAUGAUGUAUAUUUUCCAUGCAGUUUUUUAACGUGGAUAUAUUAAUAUAUGGAUGCAUUGUCCAUGUACUGAUUUUAUAUGCCCUUCGGAGUGUAUACAUCCAUGUAGCUAAAUAGAUGUAGGACUGUACCUUCCCUGCGCAGGAUGUGUGCAAGUGUACUGUUUAAUCUAUGUAAAUGAAUUUUUACAUGUGAUGGGUAUACAUGCUAUAUGUAAUCUUUUCCCAGGAGGUUGUUUUCCCAUACAAUAGAUAAGAGUGCCUCCAUAUGUAUAUUUUCUAGAGAAAUAUAUUUUCCAUGCCCAGAAUGUACAUGUAAUAUAGAUCUCUGU